AUGAUCAAAAUAGGGACUUCCAUUCCUAAAUCAAACAUUUUCAGGUUUGAAAUCUUUUGGCUUCACCACAACACUUUCAAAGAGAUGGUGGCCAAUGCUUGGCACAUACAUGUGGGUUACACUGACCCUGCUAAUAAAAUUAUUGCUAAAUUUAAGAAUUUGAGAAGAGCUAUUAAGUUAUGGGCAAAGCAAUUGUCAGAUCUUAAAAAGCAAAUUGCCACCUUGAAUGACUGGAUUGGAUUAUUUGAUACUUUUGAGGAGUUCAGAGAGUUAAGUCUUUGGGAAUGGAAUUGCAGAUCUAUUCUUAAAGAAGAAUUACUUGUGGUCCUUAAGGACCAAAGGAUUUAUUGGAAGCAAAGAGGGAAAAUCAAAGGGGUUAAAUUUGGAGAUGAGAACACAAAAAAAAUUCACACAAAAGCAACCAUAAACCAUAGGCACAAUCACAUUGCUAUUCUUCAGAAUGAUGACCAGGUGGAGAUUACUGAUCAUGAUGGAAAAGCAGCUAUUUUGUGGAAUGCUUUCAAAGCAAAGAUUGGGCACGACCGAAGAAACUACUAUGCAUUUUGA
rnacentral:rRNA from 1 species